UUUGGUAAAAGAUUUCAUAAGGAAAAACAACUAGGCACUGAUGCCAUGUAGAAAACACCUAAGAUCUAAGCAAAAAACUAAAUUGUUUGAUGAAGAUAAAAAACUACAUAGAGGGCUAUUUAUAAUAGUAAACUAAACCUAAACUUAUUUAGUGUACAAGUAAAGUAAAUAGCAAAUAAGAAAGUAUUCUAACCCUAUACUUUCUUAGAAUACAUGUAAAGUAAAAAGAAAAGAGGAAAAGAUUACAUAAAGAAAUAUUCU
rnacentral:lncRNA from 1 species